rnacentral:rRNA from 1 species
AUUGAACGCUGGCGGCAGGCCUAACACAUGCAAGUCGAGCGAGCGGCGGACGGGUGAGUAAUGUCUGGGAAACUGCCUGAUGGAGGGGGAUAACUACUGGAAACGGUAGCUAAUACCGCAUACCAUACGAUGUGCCCAGAUGGGAUUAGCUAGUAGGUGGGGUAACGGCUCACCUAGGCGACGAUCCCUAGCUGGUCUGAGAGGAUGACCAGCCACACUGGACCUGAGACACGGCCCAGCCUCCUACGGGAGGCAGCAGUGGGGAAUAUUGCACAAUGGGCGCAAGCCUGAUGCAGCCAUGCCGCUUGUGUGAAGAAGGCCUUCGGGUUGUAAAGCACUGUCAGCGGGGAGGCGUUACCCGCAGAGGAAGCACCGGCUAACUCCGUGCCAGCCGCCGCGGUAAUAC